UGGGGAAUAUUGCACAAUGGGCGCAAGCCUGAUGCAGCGACGCCGCGUGCGGGAUGGAGGCCUUCGGGUUGUAAACCGCUUUUGUUCAAGGGCAAGGCACGGUCUUUGGCCGUGUUGAGUUGAUUGUUCGAAUAAGCACCGGCUAACUACGUGCC
rnacentral:rRNA from 1 species